UACAUAUGGAUAUACAAACAUAUGUACAUGGUGAUAAUGGCCUGGGACAUGGUGAUGGUCCCUGGUUAGCCUGUUUUAAGGCUUAGAAGUACUGUUAUUUAGGCUUGACAGAAACUUUUUGGAAAAUAUAGAUAUUUUUCUCCAUGUUAAAUUUAUGGCAUUUUAAACUGACUCUAUCCUAUCUCUCUUUCUGUCCGUCUGUCUAUUUUUCUAUGUAUCUAUCAUCUAUCUAUCUAUUCUUGUACAUGCUAGACAAACACAGUACCACAGGGCUAUAGUCUCCAGCUCCAUUUUGUUUUGUUUCCUUAUGUUCUUACAAUGGGGCUCCUUCUACAACCCAUGCUUACUUUGCAGGAAAUUUAAGAAAUUUUCCUGUUGGCUUUCUUUUGAUCUUUCUCAAACCUGUAAUUGAAGGGUUCGUUCCUCCUUUUCCUGAAUGCUCUUUGCAACCACAUAUUAAAAAUGAGUUCUGUGACUUUUUGGACCAACUUUUGAAAUCCUAUCAGUUACAUUUUGUCUCAUGUGUUUCCUGUGUUUCAUGAGUUACUGGGCACCUCUUCAGGUAUAAUGUAGUCCUUGGCCCUGGUGAUGGCCAGGUUGACCUAUUUUAAAGGUUAUAGAGGUUAUUAUUUAGGCUUGAGAGAAGCAUUUGGGGAAAAUAAUAUUUUUCUCCAAGUUAAAUUUAUGUCACUUUAAAAACGGAUAACAGAUAGGACAUCUCCUAUCAUCUACAGCAACAGUCUUUUUAAAAAUUAUUUUAAUAAACUAAACUGUAACUGCUGGCUCGUUCCACCCACACCCCAGUUCUGGAUAUGAUGACUCUGAGACUUCACUGCAUAUUAAUAAAUGCCUACACCAUAAGCUUGGUCUUGUUCCCUGACUAACUCAUAACUUAAUUAACUCGUCUAUUCUAUGUCUCCUCAGAGUUUGGGAUGAAAUUUUUUCUGUGCUUACUUCUAUCCAAGAGUUUCUUUCUCCCCCUAGAACUCCCACUUCCUAUUCCCUGCCCCCCAUUAAGAUUUUUAUUGACAGGUGAUGCCCCCCCACAGUACACAUGAGGUUCUUUCUGCAGUUCCCUCUUUUACUCUAGUAAAAGGCUCUUUAUCUUUUGACAAUAAAUUAUAAACAAUAAUAAUGAUUAUGAAAACUAUCAGGCAAGGUUACAUUCAUAAUGUCUGGUCCGUAGAUAUUUGGCAGUCUUAGAUAAUGCAUUCUACUCUCUAUCUUGUUAAGUUCAGAGUUCUGUAACUAAAUUAAUUUCUAUCAUAACUUGCAUUACCAACCAAAACCAUCUUCUUAGACCUUAAAACAUUAGGAGCAAUAAAUAUAACAUGAGCAUAAAUUCUAGAAAUGAGAGUGAUGGUUGCCUGGAAAGUCCCUCAAAAUUUCUCUUUUGCCUUUGGAGCAUCGGGAUUGGCCUCUGACCCAGUAUAUGUGAAAGGCUUCGCUAUGAAGCAGGAAAUAAGAAGGAUUAUGUGCCCUGCCUUGGCAAUGCUCAGCAGUCGACCUCCCUGCCUAUUCUUCGUCCAGUUUGGAGAGCAUACUAGCAGCGGUUGAAGCAAGGGAAGUUUCUUCCCUCUUGGCUCGCUUGCCAAGUAUAAAAUAAACUCCAUAAAAACGUUCUUUGACGCUCAUCAGCUUCUUUAAAGCAGAAUGGGGGACUGCUAGGAGCUGACCUGUUUCAUUGUCAAAAAAGCCUUUUGUUAAUAAAACAUCCUUAAAUGCUAUUUUCUGAGGAUCUCUUGGGCUUCUGAAGAGCAUUUAUUUAUCUAUAGUAUACCUGAAUAGGCAAACAUUGUUUGUUUCUGGCUCGUUCCUAUCUGUUCAACCUACGAUGCUUAUUUAUGUAAUUAACUAAGCUAGUACCUAACAUGACCAUAUGUUUAGUUGUCUGACUACAGACUUGUGUUUCUUUUUUAUCCUAAAAAGUUUAUAAUAGCAGGUUUUAAAAGGACUAUCACUUAUUAUUGCAUUUUUAAAGAACUACAUAAGCAUAAUUCCUUAAAAAGUAUUGAUACAUAAUAUAUAUUAUACAAAGUAAUAAAAUAUACAAAGUCUCUACCAAUGUAAAAAUAUCCGUCUUCUUGCCCUUUGGUUUAAGAGUAGAGUCACUAAUGUAACUUUUCAUCCUGUGGUUCCCAAGUCUCUUGUCUCCUUUUUUCUUUCAUGUCUGCACCCAAGAUCUUCAGGGAAACUCCCCUUGUCGAAUCUUAUUUUUAUCAAUUUGAAAGGAAGCCACAGUAUUUCUUUUCCUGUGACAAAGCUUCUCUCCAUUCUCUUCCCUUCUUUUUGAAGCUAAGACAUCCAGGCUGAUUUAAUUCAGCAGAUUUUUUCCAUAAACCAAUGUUUCUUAACAGGUGUUGCUUUCUGGCAUUUAAAACAUUUGAAGUUAGUAAGACACUAUGUGAUCUAUCUCUGAGGAUUUUUGUCACCCCAUUUUGUUUGCUAAGCAUCUCCUUUAAAGUAUAAUUAGAUCUCUGUAAAACUGCUUGUCCUAUAAAAUGGUGUUUUCAGAACUUAAGACAAAACCCCAUUGGAAUUUAAAAUAUGUAUUAAUAGUAUGGUGUAUCAACAUGUACACAUAUCUUAAUUUUCCAAACUCUAAAAAUUGAAACAUAUAUCUACUAUAUGACACAGUUCUAAGGAAGUGUCAAACAUUUUGUACUCUUACUUCAAUAUAUUGCAUCUCUUGGGUUGAUAGUCUAACUUCUCAAGCCUUUUUGGGUUGUUCUUAUCUGGAACUAAUGACUGUUCUUGUAGAUUCCAGAUCAGAUCAUCUGAAGUUUCUUUAUUCUGAUUUCCCUUAAAGGUGAUACAUAAAAUUGUAAUUGUUACUUAAAAAAUAACUAUUUGUAUGCUGAUACGUGAAACAAAAUUAUAUGGGAUCCAGACUCAUAAUGUCACUGCACUUUACACUCACAGAAAAUAUUUUUCUUUAUAAUCUCCAACUCUUUCCUUAAGGACUUCACUUUCUUAUUUUCAAACUAAAGAUUUCUUCCUAUACUUUUUUAUACCCAGUUUAUUUUCUUUUUAUUUUUUUCUGAAUGAAGUAGUUUUAGGAGCGUGCUGUCGAUGUUUACUCGGUAGCUGUUGGAUCAAAGUAGAUCAAGAGUCGCCUUGUUUUUCCAUUCACUUAGGAGUCAUUCAUUCACCUCAGAUGCUGCCACAGGAACAGGAUGCUGUGAUGUUGCAAUGGACCUCUGCGGUAAUCAACUUACAGCACGAUACACUUCUGGCAAUUAAUUUGUUAAUGCAAAAUACAGCUCCCACUUCAAAGACAAUAAAAACAGUUUGUUCUGAGCAAAACGCAAGUGACCCUGACGUGAAAAACGGAUUCAUGAUGCUUCCUAUAACGUUCUAAUGUGGAAGUAGGUGCGUGAACACUUUUAUACUGACAUAACAAAAGAGCGCGAUAAAUCAAUCAAAGCAUUUACGAAAUACAUUGAUGGAUCUUCCAGUGAGUAAGCUACCUUAAAAAUGGGGGAGACUCUACUACACAAGUCUCAGACGCAACCUGAGCUUAGUUUUUGGGUUAUUAAGAGUAAAUAUGUGCUAAAAAUACAAUUAAAAAGUUUUACCUGUCACGAAAGGUGUAGAGGGAGUCAGUGUAUGACUACGGGGACUAAAGAUAGCCCAAGAUAAUUUAAUUCUGGAUUUGCAAUGGGGGAUUGCUUCCUUUUCCAUGUUUUAUCAGUUCAUUGACUUCUACAGCAUUCCAUCUCUUCUUACCAAAUAUUUCUAUUAGUCAGUUUUGUAGGUAUGACAUUGUCUGGGUAAUUUUAUUAAUAGGUCCCUGUUGGCUAAACAUCACAUUAUUUGUACAUACAGUCCAAGUACUUUAAGUCCGGUGGUAGUGACAGGAAGACUCAUUCCUGGGAUCACAAAAAGAAGUUAGUGUGGGCCAGAAAGCUGUCUUUAGGGUAUAGUUGUUAAAAACCAUUAAGAAAGCUUCCCAGAUCCUAUGCAUAUCUGUAGUCAUCACAGUCUGGACAUCAUGUUCUUUCUGUUUCUGCCCAUGAAUCUGUCGUAACAUCUAUGUGCCACUUACAGUAGUAAGAUUAUACCAUAAGUUCAAAUACUCAAAAAUGCAGAAUCCCUCUACAAGUAAAGAUAGUAGAUGAAAGAAAGACAUUUUUAACUCACACAAAAAAACACACUCUUUAAGCAAGCUAAGUAUAUAUAGUUUUUCCCAUGUCAAGUUAUUCAUAUUUUGUGAACUAUGUCAUGUGAGGUUUGCUGUAUUUGCAAUGGUUUAUUAUUUUUCUUUUUCAGAAUUUCAUGCAUGAGCACCGAAUCUAUGCUAUUUCUCCUCUCCUUUCUCUUCCUUCGUUAUUCAAUAUUUUCUUCUUUUAUUACUUUUCUGUUUCUCUCCUG
rnacentral:sRNA from 1 species